UCCCCGUUACCGGGGCAGUCUGAUUAGAAAAAUACAACUAAUCACAAGGGUUGCGCUCGUUGAUGGACUUAACCAAACAUCUCACGACACGAGCUGACGACGGCCAUGCAACAUCUGUCACCGAGUUCAAUAAAGCACUCACUCCUUUCGGAGUAAUUCUCGGGAUUUCAAACCCUGGUAAGGUUCUUCGGUUAGCAUCGAAUUAAAGAACAUAUUCCACUGCUUGUGCGGCUCCCCGUCAAUUCCUUUAUGUUUUAGUCUUGCGACCGUACUCCACAGGCGGGAUACUUAACGCGUUAGCUUCGCUACUGAAGGGGUCGAUACCUCCAACAGCUAGUAUCCAUCGUUUACGGCGUGGACUAC
rnacentral:misc_RNA from 1 species